rnacentral:sRNA from 1 species
AGAGCAUGCCUUUCAGGCAUCCUCUCCCAAACUUUUCAGCCCGGCCGGAAACGGUCGGGCAUUUUUUUUGAGUCAA